CGUCUAUAUACGUAUAGCAUAUCAAUAAGCGGAGGAAAAGAAACUAACUAGGAUUCCCUCAGUAACGGCGAGUGAAGCGGGAAGAGCUCAAAUUUGAAAUCUUCAAGGUUCUACCUUGACGAAUUGUAGUUUAAAGAAGUGUUUUCUGUUGGAGUUUUGGUAAAAGUUCUUUGGAAUAGGACAUCAUAGAGGGUGAGAAUCCCGUAUUUGACCAUUAUUUCCAACUUUGUGAUACACUUUCAAAGAGUCGGAUUGUUUGGGAAUGCAGUCCAAAAUGGGUGGUAAAUUUCAUCUAAAGCUAAAUACUGGCGAGAGACCGAUAGCGAACAAGUACUGUGAGGGAAAGAUGAAAAGAACUUUGAAAAGAGAGUUAAACAGUACGUGAAAUUGUCAAAAGGGAAGCGUUUGACACCAGUGUUGUUUUCUCGAAAAUCAAUUAAAAAUGGUGGGAUUUUGUGAUGUAUUGACUUUAUCAGCUUUCUGCACUUUUUUUCCUAUCUUUUUUAAUGCACUUUUCGUUUAACAAGUCAACAUCAAUUUCUUUUGUUGUAAAAGAGGUCAUUGGAAGGUGGCUUUCUUUUCGGAGAAAGUGUUUAUAGCCUUUGACUUCUGCAAUCGGAGAGAUUGAGGUCUGCAGCGUAGAUCCUUCGGGGUUAGAUGCAUUUGUGCUAAGUUAUAGCCUUUCAUAGACAACUUGUUGACUAUGAUCAGUCAUGUAGCUUACUCGCUUAUGUCAUUUUACCUACGCUUAGGAUGUUGACACACGCGCGUGCUCG
rnacentral:rRNA from 1 species